UCAUUUAAAAUUCAUUAUGGUUCCUUAGAUCGUUUCUUCCUACUUGGAUAACUGUGGCAAUUCUAGAGCUAAUACAUGCAGUGAGCCUGGAGCCCUUUGGGUAACGGGUGCUUUUAUUAGACCAAGAUCGAUCGGGUUUCGGCCCGUAUUGUGUGGUGACUCUGGAUAACUUUGUGCUGAUCGCAUGGCCACGAGCCGGCGACGUUUCUUUCAAGUGUCUGCCUUAUCAACUUUCGAUGGUAGGUUACUUGCUUACCAUGGUUGUUACGGGUAACGGAGAAUCAGGGUUCGAUUCCGGAGAGGGAGCCUGAGAAACGGCUACCACAUCCAAGGAAGGCAGCGGGCGCGCAAAUUACCCACUCCCGGCACGGGGAGGUAGUGACGAAAAAUAACAAUACGGGACUCUUUUGAGGCCCCGUAAUUGAAAUGAGUACACUCUAAAUCCUUUAACGAGGAUCAAUUGGAGGGCAAGUCUGGUGCCACCAGCCGCGGUAAUUCCAGCUCCAAUAGCGUAUACUAAAGCUGCUGCGGUUAAAAAGCUCGUAGUUGGAUCUCAGUUCCAGACGAGUAGUGCAUCUACCCGAUGCGACGGCUCGGACUGAACAUCAUGCCGGUUCUUUCUUGGUGCACUUCAUUGUGUGCCUCGAGAUGGCCGGUGCUUUUACUUUGAAAAAAUUAGAGUGCUCAACGCAGGCGAGUCGCCUGAAUAAACUUGCAUGGAAUAAUAGAACAAGACCUCGUUUCUGUUCUGUUGGUUUUGGAAUACGAGUAAUGUAAC
rnacentral:rRNA from 1 species